UACGGAGGGUGCGAGCGUUGUCCGGAAUCAUUGGGCGUAAAGGGCGCGUAGGUGGCGCGGUCAGUUCGUGGUGAAAGCGCGGGGCUCAACCCCGCGUCGGCCAUGAAUACUGCUGGGGCUGGAGCACUGUAGAGGCAGGCGGAAUUCCGGGUGUAGCGGUGGAAUGCGUAGAGAUCCGGAAGGACACCGGUGGCGAAGGCGGCCUGCUGGG
rnacentral:rRNA from 1 species